UGGAGAAUUGAGGGGGGCUGCUCCUAGUACGAGAGGACCGGAGUGGACGCAUCACUGGUGUUCGGGUUGUCAUGCCAAUGGCACUGCCCGGUAGCUAAAUGCGGAAGAGAUAAGUGCUGAAAGCAUCUAAGCACGAAACUUGCCCCGAGAUGAGUUCUCCCUGAGACCUUGAGUCUCCUGAAGGAACGUUGAAGACGACGACGUUGAUAGGUCGGGUGUGUAAGCGCAGCGAUGCGUUGAGCUAACCGAUACUAAUGAACCGUGAGGCUUAACCUU
rnacentral:rRNA from 1 species